CCUACGGGGGGCUGCAGUGGGGAAUAUUGCACAAUGGACGAAAGUCUGAUGCAGCAACGCCGCGUGGAGGAUGACACAUUUCGGUGCGUAAACUCCUUUUAUAUAGGAAGAUAAUGACGGUACUAUAUGAAUAAGCACCGGCUAACUCCGUGCCAGCAGCCGCGGUAAUACGGAGGGUGCAAGCGUUACUCGGAAUCACUGGGCGUAAAGAGCGUGUAGGCGGGUAUAUAAGUCAGAAGUGAAAUCCAAUAGCUUAACUAUUGAACUGCUUUUGAAACUGUAUACCUAGAAUGUGGGAGAGGUAGAUGGAAUUUCUGGUGUAGGGGUAAAAUCCGUAGAGAUCAGAAGGAAUACCGAUUGCGAAGGCGAUCUACUGGAACAUUAUUGACGCUGAGACGCGAAAGCGUGGGGAGCAAACAGGAUUAGAUACCCCGGUAGUC
rnacentral:rRNA from 1 species